rnacentral:rRNA from 1 species
AUAAUGCAGUCGAGCGGACAGAAGGGAGCUUGCUCCCGGAUGUUAGCGGCGGACGGGUGAGUAACACGUGGGUAACCUGCCUGUAAGACUGGGAUAACUCCGGGAAACCGGAGCUAAUACCGGAUAGUUCCUUGAACCGCAGGGUUCAAGGAUGAAAGACGGUUUCGGCUGUCACUUACAGAUGGACCCGCGGCGCAUUAGCUAGUUGGUGAGGUAACGGCUCACCAAGGCGACGAUGCGUAGCCGACCUGAGAGGGUGAUCGGCCACACUGGGACUGAGACACGGCCCAGACUCCUACGGGAGGCAGCAGUAGGGAAUCUUCCGCAAUGGACGAAAGUCUGACGGAGCAACGCCGCGUGAGUGAUGAAGGUUUUCGGAUCGUAAAGCUCUGUUGUUAGGGAAGAACAAGUGCAAGAGUAACUGCUUGCACCUUGACGGUACCUAACCAGAAAGCCACGGCUAACUACGUGCCAGCAGCCGCGGUAAUACGUAGGUGGCAAGCGUUGUCCGGAAUUAUUGGGCGUAAAGGGCUCGCAGGCGGUUUCUUAAGUCUGAUGUGAAAGCCCCCGGCUCAACCGGGGAGGGUCAUUGGAAACUGGGAAACUUGAGUGCAGAAAAGGAGAGUGGAAUUCCACGUGUAGCGGUGAAAUGCGUAGAGAUGUGGAGGAACACCAGUGGCGAAGGCGACUCUCUGGUCUGUAACUGACGCUAGGAGCGAAAGCGUGGGGAGCGAACAGGAUUAGAUACCCUGGUAGUCCACGCCGUAAACGAUGAGUGCUAAGUGUUAGGGGGUUUCCGCCCCUUAGUGCUGCAGCUAACGCAUUAAGCACUCCGCCUGGGGAGUACGGUCGCAAGACUGAGACUCAAAGGAAUUGACGGGGGCCCGCACAAGCGGUGGAGCAUGUGGUUUAAUUCGAAGCAACGCGAGGAACCUUACCAGGUCUUGACAUCCUCUGACAACCCUAGAGAUAGGGCUUUCCCUUCGGGG